GUCCUCCUGCUGUGAGCUGCUGGAGCUGGUCCUGAGGAAAGGGCUCCAACAACCAGUUCUCAGUCUGGUCCAGCGGGACUACUGGCAGUGCCUGGAGCAGAUCCCACUGCAUGACACCUGUGGCAGGUUGUCUGCUGUGUCCCUGGCUGUGGAGCAGACCAGAGCCUGUAAGAAGCUGCUGUCCGCUCAGGGCAGAGGGCGCUACCUCCUCAGGCUAGCACUGAGCCGCAAGAUACUGCCACAGUUUAUCAACCACCUGCUGCA